rnacentral:rRNA from 1 species
UCGGGAAUUUUGGGCAAUGGGCGAAAGCCUGACCCAGCAACGCCGCGUGAGGGAUGAAGUAUUUCGGUAUGUAAACCUCGAAAGAAUGGGAAGAAUAAAUGACGGUACCAUUUAUAAGCUCCGGCUAACUACGUGCCAGCAGCCGCGGUAAUACGUAGGGAGCAAGCGUUGUUCGGAUUUACUGGGCGUAAAGGGCGCGUAGGCGGCGCGGUAAGUCACUUGUGAAAUCUCUGAGCUUAACUCAGAACGGCCAAGUGAUACUGCUGUGCUAGAGUGCGGAAGAGGCAACCGGAAUUCUUGGUGUAGCGGUGAAAUGCGUAGAUAUCAAGAGGAACACUUGAGGCGAAGGCGGGUUGCUGGGCCGACACUGACGCUGAUGCGCGAAAGCCAGGGGCGCAAAC